rnacentral:lncRNA from 1 species
GAAGUUGCAGAGAGGGGCUCCUUCCCAGCCAAGGACUACCACGACCCGCCGCCUGCGCCGCUCUUCGACCCGGCUGAGCUCGCCAAAUGGUCCUUCUACAGAGCUCUCAUAGCUGAGUUCGUAGCCACUCUUCUCUUUCUCUACGUCACUGUGCUCACUGUGAUUGGCUACAAGAGCCAGACCGAACUAGACAAUUGCGGUGGGGUUGGGACCCUGGGGAUUGCUUGGGCCUUUGGGGGCAUGAUCUUUGUCCUUGUUUACUGCACUGCUGGGAUUUCAGGUCUGUUUUCUCUUCUGGGUCUCUCUGGUUUUAUCUCUACGUAUAUAAACUAGUAAAAAGUUGAAGUCUUUGAUGUUGGUUUUGCUUGUAAAAUACAGAAAUUACCUAAAAAGUACAUUUUGGAUGUGGGUUUGUGAUUCUGCUUGUAAAAUACAGAAGUUAGCUAAACAGUUUAUCUUUAGAACAAUACUUGGGUCAAAGAAGAGUAGGACAACUCUUAGUGUUUGAAUCACAUAGCUUUGUGCUUAUGUUUACAACUGUUCAUAUUAUGAAUCAUAUUAUAAAGAUCAUCUCUGCAAAAAAUAAAUUAAAACUAAGAUUAUUUAAUUAAUGUAUUAUAGCAAAUACAUAGACUGAUUGUAAUGCUUUUAUCAAUACCAUCAAUUUGUUUUUAAAGAAUUUGAUAACUAAACGACUUUAGUUUUGAUUGAUUUUUUGCAGAAGCAAUCUUUAUAGGGUGAUUUAUAAUAUGAACGGUUCUGAUUAUAAACAUAAAUAAAUAACGAACAAUUUUGAGAAAUUUUGAGUAGGAGUUUCUAAUCAUCUUUAAGCAAUAAGUAUUUAUCUUUAAGUGAGUUUUCUGUAUUUUUCUUGUAUAUAUAUAUGUAGAAUUUAGCUAAAAAGAUGAAGUCUUUGACGUGGGGUGUGUCUGAAUUCGCUGCUACAUGUAGAACUUGUUGAAAAAGCAGCUUUAUUUUUAAAUGUGGGUUUAAUUUGUGGGAUUUAGUGUUGCUUAUACGUGUAAAAUUGUCGAAAAAGGUGCUUUCUAAAAUGGGUUUUGUAACUUUUUAUUGAACAGGGGGUCACAUUAACCCGGCAGUGACAUUUGGGCUGUGCCUGGCUCGGAAGGUGUCGCCGGUGAGAGCUGUGCUGUACAUGGUGGCUCAGUCGUUGGGGGCCAUAGCCGGUGUUGCGCUGGUGAAGGCUAUCCAGAAGAGCUACUACACCAAGUACGGCGGCGGUGCCAACUCACUUAGCGAUGGGUACAGCAUCGGAGUUGGAUUGGCUGCUGAGAUUAUUGGCACCUUUGUGCUCGUUUACACCGUUUUCUCUGCCACUGACCCCAAGAGGAGUGCUAGAGACUCCCAUGUUCCGGUACAUCUACACCUUUCAUCUAUAAUUUGCAAUUACCAUUUCCUUGUACUAAUCUUUAUAUUAUAUGCAUCUAAUGGCUUUGUUUGUCUCUCGUAUUGGUGGCUUUCAUACAUGGGAGUUUUUUUUUAACCAGAAUGGUUAUUCAAUACUCUAGUUUCUGAUAUAAACGUUGCGAUUCGAGUUUAAUAAUACUUAUUUUUUGAAAAAAAAAAAACAAGGGAGCUGAGAAAAUUAGAGAAAAUCUAGUGUCUUCAGAAAUUUUGAAUAAGAAUCCACCAGCAUGUCUCUUUGGGAUUCUAAUCUUUGUUUGCUUUUAUUUUUCUUGAAACCAUUUUAAUUUAGGAAACUUUUUUAUUUGAAUUCAUCACAUGUUUAUUAUUAUUAUUUUUUAAAUUUAAAUACUUUCUGAAAAUGCAUUAUUUAAUCACAUGUCCUAGUUUUUGAAAAUUUUGACUCCUUCUCAAAAUGCAUUAUUUUUUGAACGAGCUAGUAAAUGCAUUAAUUUAUAUAUAUAUAUAUAUAUAUAUAUAUAUAUAUAUAUAUAUUGUAAACCAUCAUUUAACCUUUGGACAAGUUUAGGUGUCCCACACACUACUGCUAAUUCUUUAGGGGGCGUUUUUGUUUGCCCUCACUAAGUGGGACUGGACUGGACUAUCUGUUAGUCCAAUACUGUGUUUGUUUCAUGCUGGGACUAACAUUAAUGAGACUAAAGGGGACUAGCAUGGACAAAACUCUUCACUAAGAGGUCUUAGCGAGACCCCCCAAUAACCAUGGGACUAGCUAAGACUAUCCUCUCUCGUCCUCGUCAUGCUCAACAAUCACUCCCGAUAGACUCCUCGUCAUCUCCGGUCACCGAGAUUAUAAUAAAAUAUUAAUAAUUUAUAUAUUAAAUAAUAUAAUAUUAAAAUUUGUUAUUAUCCGCUUCUUAGUCCAACACUGCACCAAACACUUCACUAAGUUAGUCCAGCUUAGUCUAGUCUAAGCCAGUCCAGCUUAGUCCUUGAAGCUAGUCCAGUCCGAGAUAGUCCGGCGCAACAAACGCCCCCUUAGGGUUUUGUUGUACAUAUGUUCAUCACAUAUAGAUGUUCUUAAAAGGAUCAUAUUCUUGUGUUUUUUGGUGUUUAUAUCGUGCUUAUAUCCAAAAUGAGAUCUCGGAACCAAGUAUUAGAGGCAAAAUCUUGAGUUUACUGUUCCUUUGGGAUAGUGCAAUGGCUAUAUAGCACAAUCUCGUCAAAUAUUAGAUGUUGCCCUUGAAAUUGUUAGAACCAAAAACUCUUUUCAAGUCUCAUGGCAAAAGAUACGUUGUUGAGAAUUGCAUUUCGCAAGUGGUGGAUUGCCUUGGUGAAUUAGGGUCUCUCUCUUCAACUCGCUGCAUCUCGAUUCAAACCCUUUCCCUCUCAUUGGCCUAGCAUAAAGAAAUAGCAUUUCCCUUAUGAGUAGGGUGAAAAGAAUGAGCUGGGCCAACUGUUUUUUUCUGGUUAGCAUUUCAGGGUAUCAUGCAAUGCAAUAGAUGCGGAAGUCACCUAAUUUUGUUUGCUUUCAACAAGUUGCUUCAACUUUUUCAAUUAUUUUCUCCCAACUUUUCACCUUUCCAUCAUUCCUAACGUGCCAUGCCUUCUUCUAGUAUCGUCAUGAAUCAUGACUCACUCGAGGUCUCAACGUCAAUCUGUGGGUGCUUCACAUAAACCUCGUUUAACAACCUCAAAACCACUAGUUUAGUUAUUGUUUAAUAUUAAAAAGUUGAUUAACGUCUGAUUUGUUUCUGGUGUUAAACAGUUCCAAACAUUUGAUAUGCUGAGUCAGAAAUGAAUGAAAGUUGUCUAAUUUUGUUUUUAUUUAGCUUCACAAUCACGGGGCAUGUCUUUUCUAUGUACCGUUUUAGUCCAUUUUCCAACUCUUCCAUCCUGUUCCAAACUGUCCUGUUGUCUACAUUUUUUGUAUGUUUUCCACUUGUAUAUAUUCCGAUGGAGAUUCUUAGUUAUCUCCGGUUGUAUAUCUUCUCGUGUCUUAUCUCUAAUGUCACGUGUCUGAGAGAGACAGGAAAGAAUACAACCGGAUACAUGGUGGAUUCUCUCGUAUUCUAGCUGGCUAAAUUGUGGACUGUUGUGAAUUUUGAAGGUUUUGGCUCCACUGCCAAUCGGGUUUGCUGUGUUCAUUGUUCAUUUGGCCACCAUCCCAAUCACUGGCACUGGCAUCAACCCUGCUAGAAGUCUUGGACCUGCUGUUAUCUUCAACCAAGACAAGGCUUGGGAUGACCAAGUAUGUAUUCCAAUAUUAAUUAUUCAUCACUUUUAUAUUAUUAUUAUUAUUAUUAUUUAAUUUUAUAUAACGUAAGAUAUUCCGGAGCUCCUCAGAAUUUUCGCUAAUAUAUGUUCUUGUCUACUCUCUUGUUGGUUGCAGUGGAUUUUCUGGGUUGGACCCUUCAUCGGAGCAGCAAUUGCAGCCUUCUACCACCAAUUUAUCUUGAGAGCAGGAGCUGCCAAGGCCCUUGGAUCAUUCAGGAGCCACCCGAGUGUUUGAAUUGAAAUAUUUUCUGAGAAUGUGAUGGGAUUUGGAAAACAAUGUUAAUUAUUAUGAAGGGUAAUAUUUAUAUUUAAUUGUGCUUAACUUAUGCUUUGUGUAUGAAGGUUUCAUUUGGUCAUCUCUCAAUUAAAUUUCCAUCAGAAAAAGGGGCUGAGAGGCCAUGAAUUUGUAGAUAUUGUCACGUACUUGCCUUUGAAUUUACUUCAAUGUCAUUGCCAUUUUCUCAAGAUUUUCUCCUUGUUUUCUGCUUUCUACUCAUAUCAUGCUUGAAGACAAGUGCUUUUAUAAUUUUGGGGUCACUUUUGCUUGCUAUAUGAUGGCUAAGUGAGAUCCACUUGAAGCUUAGUGGGUUGGGCACUGUAAAAAGCAGAAGGUGAAUGAAUACUAGUUUUGCAUCUAGAAACCAAAGGCAAAUAAGGGUGGAAACAUGGGGAGUUUGGCACAACUCCGCUUUAAGCACUUGUAAGGUUUGUUUAACUUUUCGCUCUGAAAUAACUUAAGACCUUAUCUGUAGCGAAACAUGAAGCUUAAUAUGGACGAAUAAUCCAAAUGCAUAUGUUGUUAAAAGGAAUUGUAUCCAGUUGCCUUAUUUCUUCGAUGAGGAAUUAAGCGGUGUGGAGCAUACGUGAAAUGUUGGUUUUACACGUGGCAAAUUUGCUCUGUUACUAUAAAAGAAGAUAAAAUUACAGUCUCAUGCCAAUAAUAUCAAUGACUCAGAUGUUUAUAAGUUUUCUAAACUUUUUUCGAUGUAAGAUAUUUCUUCAAAUCCUCAACCACUCCCGUUUAGAGAUAUUCAUAAUCUUGCAAAUCUUGGGAUGCUUGAUUUGGUUGAUCAAGUCAUGGAGUCUGCUAUAUUUGUCCGUUGGCGCAACACACCAUACAACUCGUUGCCUUCGCUUUCCUUCUACACUAUACUACAAUCCACUAUCUCACCCUUUUCCCAAGAUUCCCAACAACAAAAUCUAAUCUCUCCCAACACACACCACAUAAUAUAUAUAUAUAUAUAUAUAUAUAUAUAUAUAUAUAUAUAACAUGUUAUAUAUAUUAUAUAUAUAUGUAUGUAUGUAUGUAUGUAUAUAGCUGUUAGUGUGACAUACGCGAAUUUUUGUACCUCAUGAAACCUCAAAUCCAUGAAUGUGGACGUCUUGUCUUCCAAUAUCUAUAUGGCUGUAAGGAAACCUUUGAAGGGAAGAAAUCUCCAAUUUUUAUAAAAAUGGAAAUUAGUUGUGGAGUCCCUAUCACACCGAAUUUUAACAAGCUGAUCGUCUAUUUUUCAAGUUGCACCUCAUAAAUUAUCUUUGCAAAAUAUUAACCAAAUUGAAAAUAUUUGAGGCGUCUAAUUAAGUACAAAGAAAUUGACUAAUACUUUCUUUUCUAAGAAACAUUGAAAUUUCAUCGUGGUAAUUAAAUUAGCAAAUGAUCUCAGAUUAAAUUGAAUUUCUGAAAGGAUGAUCUAUGAAUCGAGACUUACAAAAUAGACAAUUCGGAUCAUUGAAGUUCGAUGUAGAGUGAGCCUUACAAUUAGUCCCCAUUUACCAAAAAUGGGGAUCUUUUGGAUAAAGGGCCUGGUGUCUGUAAUAUUAUAUUUAACUUAAUUUUUGGGUUUUUUUUUCAUUUUUUUAAUUGUUCUUGUAAAUUUAAUUAAGGUUAAGAUGUAGAUGCAAGGAUCGGUAAUAGUGAGAUUCUCGUAUUUUACCUUCAGGCCUAAGGGGCAAUGUUCAAUCCUCUGCCAUCCUAAAAAACAGGAAGUUUAAUAGCUGAGAAUAAUGUUAAACCGUAAGAUCGAUCUUACUGAAAAUAAAAUUUCAAACGCGACACGUUACAUUGAAGCUCAAAACACGACUGAUAUGGAUCAUGGCUCUUGUGGCUUAUAUCUUGUUUCUUGUUGUUGAACCCAACAAGUUGAAGAUGGCCCUAAUUGCUCGUAGACAGUUUUACCAGAUCAAGUGAGGUUAGCCAUGUAGCUCUUCAAAAUACUAUCUUACCCUCACCCACUUUGAGUUUGAAUUGCCACUGGGUCUCUUGAGAGUUGAGACUAGCUGCUGGAUUCCAGGAGUUCCACCCCAAAGGGCCGAAAGAGUGACAUAAACAUAAGAAAUAUCCUUACUCUUGCCAUUUUAAACAUAUCAUAAACAUAUUACUUCACACUGUUUGCAUGUGGAGAAUAUUUUGAAUUGAACGUAACAUUGCCAGGUAAUAUUAUGUAAUAGGUGGAUUGAUAACAUCAUUUCACAUUAGCAACCACAUUAAAGUUAAGGGAACUUUAACAAAAAACAUCCGGUGCUGUUCACUUUAAUGAAAAACCAUAUUUUUACACUAAAAAGUCAAUCCUGGUACUAUUCACUUUACCCUUUAUUUUGUCCUUAUCAUUAAAACUCAAAGUUUUCAAGCCCUUUUGUGAGAGUGGCAUGAUCACCAAGCUGCUGUAUUGAAUACUCUCUUCCACGAUUAAAACUCUCACACAUCAUGUUUAAUAGUUGUUGCUCUCUAUCUCUCUCACGCAUUAAUAGAAUAUAUAACUGUACUUUACACAGUAAGGUCUGGAAGUCAAUUGCAAAAUGAGUCACGAGGUUUUAACUUUUGUAUUUCACACCACGUGGUUUUUGAAUUGCACAAAUUUAACCUCUUUGUCAAUUUCACCUUCUAAGUGGACGUUGAUGCAACAUAGACUAGACUCACAUUUUAAGCACCCGUUGACCUUCAAUUUCAAUGUUUAGUCAUACUCUUUUACUCUUUUAAUUCUUUUAUGAACGUGUGCUUAAAAUGCAAGCCCAAUAUAUGCCACAUCAGCAAUUAACAUCUAAUUUAAUAGUAGAAUAGAAAGAGAGGUUAGUUGGUACAAUUCAGAAAUUAGGUGGUGUAAAAUGCACAAAAUUAAAAUAUCGUGGCUCAUUUUGCAAUCGACACCAAAACUUGUGGGGGUAAACUGCAGUUAACUCGAGAUAAAAAUGUUCACAUUGAUGUAAUUAACUGAGGGAGACCUAUCUGAAAAGCAAAUAAGCAAAGCAAACAGUGCUGUGGUGUGCACGCUUCUAUGAUUGCCUGUGGUAGCACGGCAAGCAAAUGCAAUACUUCAAAGUCAAGCAACCACCGCACUUGCAAUUCUAUAUAGCAAACACUGCCUGCCACUUCCUUUUCAGACUUCAACUGCAAAAAAUUACCAACAAAUUAAUCAAAUUUUCUUAUGGCACCCAUCACCAACCUCGUCUGCUUCCUUUUCACUCACUUUGGUUUUCUCUGGACACCCACGUUGCUCCACAACUUCAGGUAUGAAAACCUCAUUGAGCUUGAGCGAUAUACAUUCCAAAGUUACAGGUACGAAAAUCCCCUCGGUCCCUCUCACUUGGGUUUUGGUUUUUCACACCCUGAACUUGCAACCCUUAUCUAAUCUCAUCGUCUGCAGCUACCAGCAUUUAAUUGUUGUUCAAACUUAAUCAAGACAUAUAUGUGUGUGUUCAUAUGUAUACAUGCUCAAAGAAUCAAAGUUCCACAUGACCGGCUGUGUUUGAUCGCCGUCGAUGAAGUGAUCAUGAAGGCCGUUCAUCGGUUUUGGAGCUGCAGAUAGUGUUGUGAUCGUAGCAAAACAUCACUGUAAAUAUACUGUUAUGAUCAAGAUAAAUAAUUGUACACAACGUGGCAUUCAUUUCUGUUGUCAUAUGGUGCAUUGCAAUGUAGUUUUUAACUUUGUUUUUGUGGGUCUUAUUAUUUGCUUUAAUUGGGAUUGAUAUUAAAUGUAACAACUUUUUAUUUAGUACGAUAUUCUACACUAAUCGCUAGGAAGAGAAAGAGUUUAAAUCCGAAAUACAAUGAGUUGAAGAUAAAAACUUUAACUGCUGGAGCAAUACCCGCUGGUUCUAAAUGUAACAAGUUUGAGUGUAUUGACUAUUAUGCUUUAAGUAAAAGGGGUAGUUAACUUGCCUUUGAGGAAAAGCAAUUAAAGAGCUAAUCACUACACUUUACCAUCUCUAGUUAGGCCACCAAACGAGGGUAACACGUGCAUUUAUCUGACGGACCAAGUCUUUCCACGUCACUGUCAAUUCUACUUCAUCAUCAUACUCCAAGUCUCGAAUCAGGAUCCUCUUCGGAUCCUCUCUGUGAGGAUUCUGAAGAUUCUCAAAUCGUAUCCAUUUAUCGUACAUCGUUUGAUCAGAAAUUAUUUUAAAUAUUUUUAUUUAAAAUUCAAUAUGGCUAGUACUUGACGAAAAAUGAUCACACAAUUUACAAUAAAUGGAUAUGAUUUGAUGAUCCAUAGGAUCCUCAUUCCCAAGUCUCAUUCACUCGAUGAUCCAAACCCAUUACUUAGCACCGUUGUCCAUCUCCAAGCCUUCCUUACAUCCCAUGCCCAAUAAAACCACACAUGACCAUUCCCCAAUCCACAGAAUGGGGACGCCCAUUCACUCAGAGAGAUUUUUCAGUGUGACCAUCACACGAGGUAGUAUAUCACGUAUUCUUAUAAAAAUGGUGAGUUAUAUAUGUUAAAAGGUUAAUAACUUAAAAAUUAAAAAAUUUCACCACUUGCAUAAAAACACAUGGUGUACCAUCUGUGUUUCCGUCACAACUAAAAAUUUCUCCAUCCACUCGAUGCAAUAGGCCACAUUUCAUUACAGGAUAGUGUUAUUCACACACUCGUUUUUAUUUUUCACACAUGUUCUUAAUUUUUAGUUAUUGGAUCGAAUAACUCGAAGAAGACUAAUGACAAAAAAAUUAACAAGGGUGUGUAGGGUAAAAAUAAGUGUGUGAAUAACAUUAACCUUCGUUACAUAAAGUAUCUAGACACUUGCUUUUAGUCCUGAAGGGAAUUUUCUCGUCUCAAUGAUAAAUUAUUGCAUGAAGUUGAAACACUGUCAAAAGCUAUAAUUAUUACUUUUUUACAUGUAAAUAAAAAUUGAUACCAAUAUCAUACCAAAAGCAUAAACUCGUUGUCUAUUCAUAUCAUAACACGUAAAUUAUUUAUUACAUGAGUGUAUUUUUGUACUAUACAAUAAAAUUUUCAUUUCAAUUUAGACAUAAUCACAAAUAUUUUUUUAUUUUUUUAUUUUUUUUAACUCAUGGGCAUAUCCUAUUCUUAUUUAGGAGGAAGGAAAUUUGAACUCGGUAACAAGGUUGGUUAAGUGAUAAUUAAUUAAAAUAUAAAGAUCUUGAAAAAAACUCAACAAUAGCAUUUUCCCCAAAAAUUAUGAGCUAUCUUUCCGUUUUUAUUUGUUUUACUAAGUUCUUUGAAAAACUAUAUAAACUAUAUGGGUAAAUUACAUAGUAACCCUUCAUGUUUGAGAUCUAUUACAAUCUCAUACAACAUCUUUAAAACAUUUCACUUUCAUACUUCAAGUACUAUUUUAUUUCAAUAUAAUACAUCUGUUAUAUUUUCCAUCCAUUAAUCCGUUAAAUGCUGAUGUAGCUGCCACAUUUGUGCCACGUGACUGCCAAAUAUGUGCCACGUAGCCAAAAAAAUAAUUUUUAAUUUUUUGUUAAAACCUAAAUCUUCUAAAGAAAUUUAUUAAAAAACCAAAAACCAUGUGGCAGCCACGUCAGCAUUUAACGGAUUAAUGGAUGAAAAAUCUAACGGAUGUAUUAUAUUGAAAUAAAAUAGUACUUGAUGUAUAAAAGUGAAAUGUUUUAAAGAUGUUGUAUGAGGUUGUAAUAGACUUCAAACCUGAUGGGUUACUAUGUAAUUUACCCAAAACUGUAUUUUCUUGGCGUUUUUGUCACAUCACGUGCUUCAUAAAAUUCAUAACUCUGAUUUGAGCCCUAAUAGUAUUUUUCUUGAAUUUUCAAAUUUUCAACCUAAAGUUUCAAUAAAAAUCCUUAUGGGGCUUGUAAAAUGGUUGGAUCACUUCUAAAUCAUUUGUAAUAUCUUUGCAUAAACUCAACAAUUGCCUCUUUUCACAAAAAUGUGAGCUAUAACUCUUGAUUUUUUGUCAGGUAUCGAUAACAAGUUCAUAGUUAUUUUCAUAAGUCGAACAUAAGACAUUUUACUUGUGAUAAAAGUAUCAGUAAGUUAUUAUCUAGUCAACAAGAUGAAGAAGGCCAACGACGUCGUUGGGGAAGAACUUAUCGGUUCUGCCAAUUAUCUGACUUUGCUCAGGGAGCCAAUUAUUACCCGUCCCUCUUCUUGUCGAAACAUACAGUCCCCUCCAUUUCCUCCGUCGUCGAAGAUCACCAGUGCACAAAAAGAGAGAGAGACAUGCAUCUAUGGCCGUCGGCGACGAUCAGAGACUCCUUCAAGCUCGAUUACCUGAGGAAGCUCGACUGGAACCUCCAGAGGAUGAAAAGCGAGAAGGAAUCACAAAAAUCAGUCAAGCAGAACCUGCUCGAUGGCCAAGACGGCGGAGCCGCCAAACAGUUGGAUAGCCCACGAGGCCAAGUCAACGGAAAAGCGGCGGACUUGACCAAUCCAAAGGCUCAUGGAAGAGAUAGAAUGGUCGCUGGACUCUGCGGAGAGACUCUGAUGCUUCUCUCUUGCUGCUUCUGCUGUGGAGGUAAACUUGAAUUUAUCUCAGCCCCUUUUGAUUUGACAUGAUAAAGUUUUGAAAUUUGUGUUGGAAUUGAAAUUUUACGAUUUGGGUUUUGUUUAUAUGAGCUUCUUUGGUUUUGUAUGUGGGGAAUUAGUGUUUAACUUGGGUGGAAAAUUGGGGUUGGAUUUGAAUUCUUUGAGGGAUGUUGUUGUAUAAUCGUUGCUUAGUGAGUUUAAUGUGGCUUUCUCUUAAUUAUGUGUGAGAAAGAAAACUUAUUGAUAGUGUAGAAUAUAUAUAUUUGGAAUUCGAGCAGUGUGCCUUUGGUUUGAUUGCUAGUUUGGACACAAGAUGAUGCUGGAAUCCUGUCAUGUCUUUUUUGUUUAUCGAUUAGUUUAAGCAUAAACUGAUUGAUAUCAAGGUCAGGUCAAUCUUUUAGUUAGAGGAUUCAAAGAUUCUACCUGCUUUUGUGAGCCUGUAAAAGGUGGGCGGGUGGUGGCUUGUUGCCUAAGAAUUGAUCAGCUUGACAAGGAUUCUUGUGACCAUCGUUUUAUGUAGAAUAUUUUUAGAGUACUUUGUUUGGAGAAGCUGGUAAAGGAGGUGACUGGAGGACUGAAUGAGAUAUCAUUGAUGAACACGGUAUCAGCAGAUUAGAUGCAAAUUACUUCAAAAGAUUCAACACGGAGUGCACGUGCUCUAGAUUAACAUGGGGACUUUUUUUUCGUAGAGGUUAACAGUUUUUGGUUUAACUAUCAGUAUUGUCUUGUUGAGCUGGGAAUAGUGGGAAUGCCUAAUUCCAGGGUCAUAAAGUGCUAAAUUGGGGGAGGAUAUCAGUGCGAGGUACAGCGUUGUCAUCCAUGAUCAUAUAUUCUCACAAACUUAUUGGCGUCCCUAUGGAUUUAUGCCCUAUAACAUGUCGACGUAUAUGUGAAGAAUGGAUACCUAAGAAGUCUCUAAUUUGAAUGGUCUAUGUGAUGGUAUAUUCUCGGUGCAGUUGGAAAACAAGGUGGCAUCCUUUUGCCUAAAUUUAUAGUCUGCGGUAAAUGAAAUGUGUGAUGGUAGUUAUGAAAGACUGUAAGGCCAUCUCUAACCGAAGGGUCCAGAGGGCCAGAGGGCCGAAAAUAGCCCUAAAACCGUCUCCAACCGAGGGCUAGGCCAGAGGGCUCUGGAAUCUGGGAGGGCCCCACGGGAUCGGAGAGGGUUGGAGGGCUGGAGGGCUGGCUACUUUCGGCCAGCCAGCCAGCCCCGGGCUGGCUAUUUUUUUUUUAAUGUUUUCCUAUUGCUGUCGGUUAUAACCGACAGCAUUAAAGAAGGAUUUUUUAAUAGUGUCGGUUAUAACCGACAGUAAUAGUUAUUCAAAGGCAAUUUAUUUUUUAAUUACUAUUAGUGUCGGUUAUAACCGACACUAAUAGUUUGAAUUUUUUUUAUUAUAACGGCUAGUAGCCGUUGUAUUAACAGUUUUUUUUAUAUGAAUUUAAACUUCUUUUUUUCCUUUUCAUAUGAAUCAAAUUUUGUUUCAUAUUUUUUUUCAAUUCUAUUUUACAAAAUUUGUUUCAAUUUUUUUUUUAAAUUCUAUUUUUUUUUUCUAUAACUUCUAUUUUACAAAAUUUGAUUCAUAUUUUUUUUUCCUAUAACUUCUAUUUCACAAAAUUUGUUUCAGUUUUUUUUAAAUUCUAUUUUUUCCCUAUAACUUCUAUUUUACAAAAUUUGAUUCAUAUUUUUUUUUUCAUAUAACUUCUAUUUUACAAAAUUUGUUUCAUAUUUUUUUAAAUUCCAUUUUUUCCCUAUAACUUCUAUUUCACAAAAUUUGUUUCAUAUUUUCUUUCAAUUCUAUUUUUUCCUAUAACUUUCUAGGCCAUUAUACAACAUUGAAUUAAAUUAAGUAACAUGAAACAACAUUAAACAAUAUGAAACAACAUUAAAUAACAUUAACCAACAUAAAAAUUAUACAACAUAAAAAAAACAUUUAACAACAUGAAACUUAAACAACAUUUUUAAAAACAUUUAAAAACAUAAAACGUAAACGCCUACUCGAAGCUUCACUUAGCCGUUGGAUUUGAAUUUAAAUUGUAGUUUCAAAAUAAUAAAUUAUGUUUGGCCCUAUGACCCUUUGGCCCUCGGUUGGAGAUGAUUUUUUGUGACAGUGCUAAAACGAGCCAUCUGGCCCUCUGGCCCUCGGUUGGAGACGGAGGCAAAUAUGACCAUGUACUGUUCAUUAAAAUAUUAAUAUCUUGAAGAAUCUUGGAGGGCCAGAGGGCUCAAACGAGCCCUCUAGCCAGCCAUCGGUUAGGCCAUCUCCAACCGAUGGCUGGCCAGAGGGCUCGUUUUAGCCCUGUCACAAAAAACCGUCUCCAACCGAGGGCCAAAGGGCUAUAGGGCCAAACAUAAUUUAUUAUUUAAAAACUACAAUUUAAUGUUGUAUAAAUGGCCUAGGAAGUUAUACGAAAAAAAUAGAAUUGAAACAAAUUUUGUGAAAUAGAAGUUAUAGGAAAAAAAAUAUGAAACAAAAUUUGAUUCAUAUGAAAAGGAAAAAAAGAAGUUUAAAUUCAUUAAAAAGGGAAAAAAAGAAGUUUAAAUUCAUUAAAAAAGAAAAAGAAAAAAGAGGCCUAAUAAUCCAACGGCUACUAGCCGUUAUAUUCAAAAGCAUUUCAAACUAUUAGUGUCGGUUAUAACCGACACUAAUAGUAGAACUAUUAAAAAAAAAAAAGAAUACCUUUAAUGCUGUCGGUUAUAACCGACAGCAAUAGGAAAUCAUUAAAAAAAAAAUAGCCAGCCUGGGGCUGGCUGGCUGGCCGAAAGCAGCCAGCCCUCCAGCCCUCUCCGAUCCCGUGGGGCCCUUCCAGAUUCCAGAGCCCUCUGGCCUAGCCCUCGGUUGGAGACGGUUUUAGGGCUAUUUUCGGCCCUCUGACCCUCUGGACCCUUUGGUUGGAGAUGGCCUUAGAGAUGGCCUAAUGAUAAGAGGAUCAUAUACAUGCUUCGGGCAUGUCAUGUACAGACUUCUUUCUACGUGGGGUGUUCUGUGAAGAUAACAUAGUACUGGCAGAGUGUGAAACUAUGAGCCGGUGAUCAGGUUAAUUUGAUUUGAUGCUGAUUAAGGGCUCUAUUUGUAUAUCUAUGAAAUCUUUUCUAUCCGCAUUGUCAAUUAACAGUCGAUAGUCUCUUCUGAUUGGUUAUGUCCGCUCAUAUCCUUUUUAUUCCUAGCAGUUGUGUUUCAGUUCAUACACUAACCAUUUUCCGUUUGCCUAUGCAUGAAUAUGAGGGUUUUCUUCUUUCAGCAUGCGCAGAUGAAGAGGCUGAUCUUAUCUUUUGACGACGAGUCUAGGAAUCGAACGUCACAGACAAUAAUGUAGAGUCUUUCUUAGUUUUGGUCUUAAUAUUAGACUUCCCUGGGCGUAUAUGUCAACAAGACGAAGAUGAUACAAGGGAAAAUUGUAAUUCUUGUUACAACUAUGGAGGAGGAUGUCUGCACCUGUAUAUUGUUGGGUGCUAAUAUGACGCAGAAUGCUUGUAUUGCUAAUUUUCUAUGGAUAGAAUAACAUUGUUUACGAUUGGUUUUACGGUGGAACUUUAUUUUAUUUUUUUCAUGGUAUUAGAGCAAAUUAUCCCACCUGAUGAUGGUGUGUCACUUAAGGCUGGUUUGGUAUUGCUGUGCUUUAAAAAAAAACUGCUGUGAGAAUAAGCGGCUGUGAAAUAAAUCACCAAAGUGUUUGGUAAACUUUUUUGUAAACGUGCUUUUGGAAAAAAAUACAAUCUGAUAGUGAGUCUUUUCAUUAAAGGAGCACUGUAGCUCCGUGUGCUUUGAAAAAAAACCAAUUUUCCAAAGCUGUAAAUAGCAGCUUCAGCAUUUUUCCUUUAAUUUCAGCUUAUUCUCACAGCAGCUUCCAAAAUAAGCUCUUUUUUUUCAGUUUACCAAACACCUAAAACCAUCACAGCUUUUUUUAUGAAUAGAAUAACAUUGUUUACGAUUGUAUUGCUAAUUUUCUAUGGAUAGAAUAACAUUGUUUACGAUUGGUUUUAUGGUGGAACUUUAUUUUAUUUUUUCCAUGAUAUCAGAACAAAUUGCCCCACCUGAUGAUGAUGUGUCACUUAGCCCCGCGUGUUGGGUGAUAUCCCUUUGGCUUCACACGACUGUCAAUGUGUGGAUUUCUCACGUGUGACCCACUAAUUAGGUCCCACAUGAGGUGGUGUUGAAGUAUCUCACAUGGGCAGGAUGGCAGAGAAAAUAAGAGUUUAAAUAUUUUAACCCUACUCCGACUACCACCAAGCCUUUUUGCAAAAAAAUCCACACUUGUAGAACUGUGCAGGUGAUAAUUAAUAAGUUAGAAACAACAUCGGUGUUAUUGGAAAUGAGCAUUUGGCCUGUCUCUUUGGUAAGUUUGACAAUAUUACAAUCUGAAAUUCACGUUCUAUGCAUAAAAACAUAGUUUCAAGUUUUUGACGAGCAAGAUAUACAUUAAAUUGCUCUAUGAAGCUCAGCCGUAAUACAUUAGGCAUCAUCGCCCAACAGGAUUAUCUGAUGAGCGAUUAACACUAGAGUGGCAGUAGGGUUGGUUUGACAUAUCUAUAUUGUUACACCCCCAUUUGCUCCCUCUAGUUCCAUGGACUAUGAGGGUGUCUCGUGCAACUGAAGCUAGCACAACACAUCUUCCAACAACUAUAGUAGUAUCAACACGUGACUGCCGCUAGCAUAACUCUUUAGAUUUCGUACUCUUGAACAAUUAUGACAACUUUACGCAUCUUCGAACAAUUAUGACUAGUCUAUAUGCGACUGCCGCUAGCACAACUCUAUAAAAAGCAUUGCAAUGCUUUCAUCCAGCAUUAAUAUUGUGACACCCCACACCUACCCAUCACACCCAACUUCAACCCAACCCUGCCCAACCACCUAGCCCAGCACCAAGAAUAAGUAAGCCACCCAGCGCAUUUUAGCAACCGCAAGUUCAAAAUGGCGCACCCGAUUGCGGAGGCGAACGAGGAAAGCCCCUACGGCGCGUUAACUCCGGAGGCCUUCUAUUCCCGCCACAACGUCUCCCACGCAUCCGAGUACACCACAAACCCCCGAGGCCUCAAGCUCUUCACCCAGUGGUGGACCCCACUGCCUCCGACUGAGAUCGUCGGGACCCUCGCCAUCGUCCACGGCUUCACCGGCGAGACCAGCUGGUUCGUCCAGCUCACCGCCGUCCACUUCGCCAAGUCCGGCUUCGCCGUCUGCGCCAUCGACCACCAGGGCCAUGGAUUCUCUGAUGGACUCAUCGCUCACAUCCCCGACAUCAACCUCGUAGUCGACGACUGCAUCUCUUUCUUCGACUCGUUUCGUGCCAACCACGCGCCGAAGAACCGCCCCUCGUUCCUCUACUCUGAGUCCCUCGGCGGCGCGAUCGCCCUUCUCGUCACGCUCCGGCAAGGAAGCGGCGCGUGGGACGGUCUCAUCCUCAACGGCGCCAUGUGCGGGAUCAGCCCCAAGUUCAAGCCGCCGUGGCCGCUCGAGCACCUGCUCUUCCUCGUGGCCGCGGUGAUCCCGACAUGGAGGGUGGUUCCCACGCGUGGGUCGCUCCCGGACGUGUCGUUCAAGGAGGAGUGGAAGCGGAAGCUGGCGCUGGCGAGUCCGAGGAGGACGGUGGCGAGGCCACGCGCUGCGACGGCGCUUGAGCUGCUGAGAGUGUGCAAGGAGCUGCAGGGGAAAUUCGAGGAGGUGGAGGUGCCGCUGUUGAUAGUCCAUGGGGGCGACGACGUCGUCUGCGACCCCGCAUGCGCGGAGGAGCUGUACAGGCGCGCGUCUAGCAAGGACAAAACGCUCAGGAUCCACGAGGGCUUGUGGCACCAGCUGGUUGGCGAGCCCCAGGAGAAAGUGGACUUGGUGUUCGGUGAAAUGGUGGAGUGGCUUCGUACUCGAGCUCAACGCGCCGCCGCCGCGAAUGGAGGUGGUGGUGCCUAGUGCAGAACUAUAGGGGUUAGGGCUAAUUUGGUUUGCUGUGUCUUGAAAAAAAAGGCUUGAUGUGAGAAUAAGCGGUUGUGCUAUGAAAAUAAGCGAUUGUGAAAUAAAUCAGCAAAGCAUUUGGUAAAUUUUUUUGUAAAAGUGCUUUUGGAAAAAAAACAGUUUGAUAGUGAGUUUUUUCAUUAAAUGAGCAUUGUAGCUCCGUGUGCUUUGAAAAAAAACUAGUUUUUCAAAGCUGCAAAUAGCAGCUUCAGCUUUUUCCUUUGAUUUUAGCUUAUUCUUACAGCAGCUUUCAAAAUAAAUUCUUUUUUUUUUAGUUUACCAACCUAAAACCUUCACAACUUUUUUCGAUAGAUGUAUAUUUUUUAAGCACCACAUUUCCAAAUCACCUCUUAAUUUUUAGUUUAACUAGAUUUGUAGGGAGGAAUCAGAAGCUGCCAAUGGAAGCAUGCCAUGUCACUUCAAGUUUAAAUAAAUAUAUUAUUAACUAAUUAAAAAUUUAGUGAAUUAUCUAACAGUUUGUCAAAAAAAAAAAGUUCAACCACCCCAAAUUCCCAAACCUUAUUUCGGUCCAAUUAAAAGGGAUCCAAAUAUGGGUUUUGGCUAUUAUUAGGUUAAGAUUUUAUGAGAGUAUAAAUUUGUAGUUCAUGUGGUUAUGAGCACGUGGCAUGUGAUGUGCAUGUAUCUGAGGUAUUGUGUUUGAAUCCUAUCUCCUCUAAUAUCCCUCGUAUCAAAUAAAGGAAAAAAGAUUAAGCCUGUAAGAAUAAAAUUGAAUUGAAUCGAUAAAAAUGAUACCUUUGAAAAAUCACCCACGUUUCUUGGACAAGAUGAGAAAAUUGAGAUCGUUUUUCUGCUAAUAAUUUACCAUAUUUUUUGUUUCCACCAUAGAAGAUGAGUUUUUCUGCAUUUACUCCUUUUUUUAUCUGUUGGUUUUUAGUAAAAUAAAGAUUAAGGACGAUGGAUUCGACCAUGAUGUGGAUUGUGCACCAAGCAAUGAACAAUGCACACGAAAAAAAUGCAGUUGAAAGAAGGCGUUCUCCAGCGCUUGAAUGGGAUCUGCAGAUUUUAUGAAUUGGCUGUAAUGCAGCUAGAAGGGUGUUUGAAGUUUGUUCGACAAGAAACAGACGGAGUUUAAUUUCUUUUAAGAUGGAGAGUGUCAUUACCAAGAGCCUUCUUAUUGCCAACCUAAACCACAUGAAGAGGUUCAAUUAAACUCAUCUGUUUCUUUAUCUCCACCUGCCCUCAGAUUUUCACAAAUCACAAGCAUUGGCUGAUUUUGAACACAGAACGAGCGAUAAGUUGGAAAUGAACUUUUUGAGGUAUUGUUCUAUCUACAACUCAUUCCUCACUACAGCUUUAAUUUACUUCUAGUAGGCUUCUGGUAGACUAACCGGAUUGCAAUCCUACUUCUUUACAGAUUGGACAAGAUGAAGGAUAGUUUAGAUACACUCGUCAAACUUGUAUCCUCCUUGAGAAAAAAAGAAAUCAAUUCAUCGGGACACUUUUACUAGGAGAUGUCAUGAUCUCUGGAAGGCUGAAACUGGGGUUCUCGGCUGCAGUAAAUUAAUAUUUUCGGUUUUGAUUUGUUCAUGAUUAAAUCAUUUCAAGUUUAAUAUUGGUUGAUGUGUGUCAUAAAUAGGUUGAUCUUCUUGGUGAUCAAGUGGAUGACAUUAUGUGAUCACUCACCAGUUCUGCGGCACUAUUCCGAGGUGAGCAAUGUUUUCGUUUCCCCAUUUCUUGCGUCGCAAGGUUCUGUUUUUACCGAUGCUUAAGUAAUCCUUUCCAUAAUACACAAGCUUCUGUUUUACAUUGGAAAUGUGAAUUGUUUAUCGCCGCUCGAUUUUCCUGCAGGUCGCUGACGUCUUACGAUUGAUCAAGGCGGAACUAACCGGAGUUGUGAAUGCGUCGAAAAUUUGACAUGUCCAUAGAAGAAAAAGAUAAAACAAACAGAAACACAGGGCUGCAGGAAAAGACAGUAAGAAACCAACAAGGAAAACAAAAUAAAAAUACAACAUUUCUCAAUUGGUUGGCGAACUAUACUAUGUUUUGAGAAGAUCAAACAGCAAGACAAAACCCAAGCUGGCGAUUAGCUCUCAUCCUUGGUUUUACCUUGAUAAGUUCGUACCAGGUUAUUUCGCCGUCUGCUUCUUGUCUUUUUUUCUGGCUCUGUGAAGGUUAAACAGUUAUAGUUUGUGGAUAUAUGAACCUGCAUUUCAAGUUCUUGAUUGUUUUCUGUACAUCAUCGAAAACUCGAAAGCUCUCUCAUGGCCAAACUGCUUCAUUUAUGCUCCUAUUGUGUCCUAGUUUUGCUUCUCUAUGUUAAGUUUGUGACUUCCUUCAACCAGUUUGGAUUGGGCGCACCACGGCCUGCGCCCACUGGAGGGCUAACGACAUCGCCAUCAUCAUCACCAUCACCAUCAGCACCACCAUCAGCUCCGACACCAUCACCAUCACCACCAUCACCAGCUCUGACACCAUCACAGCCACCAUCAGCUCCGACACCAUCACCAUCAGCUCCAACACCAUCACCAUCACCACCACCACCAUCUCCGACACCAUCACAGCCACCAUCAGCUCCGACACCAUCACCAUCACCACCACCACCAGCUCCGACACCAUCACAGCCAUCAUCAACACCGUCUCUGCCACCAUCACCAGAAUCUGAACCACGUCCACCACCUACAAAUAGCAAAGGGUCUUCAGGAGGACUGAGUGGUGGACAGAAGGCAGGGGUGGUGUUUGGAGUGCUGAUCGGGGUAGGACUGAUCGGGUUUGGUGGCUUCGUGUACAAGAAACGCCGCGCUAACAUUAGACGGAGCCGCUAUGGAGCUGCAGCCAGGAGAAGCUUUCUUUGAUUUAGAAAAAAUUAGAGUGUGAGAUAGGAGACCAACAUCAACGUAUACUUGUUAAUUCAAAUUUUGAUUUGAUUGUUCUUCCUAAAUAUCGAAAAACUUGCAUUUGCAACAAAAUUUGAAAAUGUCGUACGACUUGUUCAUGUCAUAAUCUUAGUUAUGGACGUGUUGCAAUUUGUAAUUUACAAAGAAAAAAAGGUUUGAAACAAUGUAUCACUUGUAGUCUAAUUCCGUCUACUUUCUCAUCUAAAAACUUUGUACGUGAUUUGCACACGACUCACUCUUUUCAAGAGUAUUUUAACGUUUGAAACAUCGAUACAACUUUGUCAGAUUAGUGCUUUUCAAGUGGUUUUUUCGCCUAAAAUCCAAGUGGUGCAAAAUGGUUCCCUAGCAAUGCACCACGUGAUAGCUUGCAUUACAAAAACAUGUGAGACCGGUUCUCAUAUGGCAACUUAAUAAGUGUCUUUGACGUAGAAAUCUCUCCUUCAUGCAUUUGAUAUUGUAUUUCUAAUUCCUCCUAUCAAUCUAACUUGUUGUCAUCCGUUUCUUCCUCAUUUGGCCUAAAUUCCUUUAAAUUUGCAAGUUCCUUAAUUUGGUGUCAUUCUUCAAUAUCAAUUCAGUAGUGGUGUUUUUCUUAAAGUGUGUGGUUUGACGUGUUUUUCUCUAAAUUUAUUUGGUGUCAUUCAUCUUCACUUGAAAGUGAGAAGUCUUAGCCCAUUGUGUAGCUGAGCCGAGCUCCCUCUCCCUCUAAUGUAAAAAUAUUGAUGUACUAAAAAAAAAAAAAAUAGUCUACUCUUAUCGAAAUUAGUUUGAAUAUAUAUAUGAAUAGCCCAAGAGUAAGAGUUUGACCCAACGAGAAAAACAACCUUAGACGAGCCAACCAUAAACGAAAUAUCCAUAACCGUCAAGUAUUUGGGCCCAUUGGACAUGACAGCCCAACUCAUCAAGAAUGUCUUAGGCAUAUAUAAUGUGUUCCGAAAGUGAAACAUAAUUUAGGGUUCAGAAGAUAUAACAGAUACUAAUAGCCGUCAAUUACUUCAAAUUAGGCGAUUAUUAUCUGUUGAUGUAUCUGCCCGACUCGUAAAAUAAUCAUAAUUUGUUUCAUGUUUUGAUUAUUAGUUGUAAAUGUAAGGAAACGAUUACCAAUAACUAUUGUUUGCUUUAGUUGAUGAUUAUCGACUAUUGAGCAAUGUGAAUGACCGAUAAUGACGUUAAUUCCCUUCAACAUUGUCGAUCAUCUACCCAUGUUGCUCAUAGGGGCUUGAAAUUGGAUGUAUUAUCUUCAUGAAAGACAUGAUGGUAGUAGAUUACAAGCACUAAGCAAAAGCAUUAAGGAAAAGUGGAACACUAAAACGAUGUGUUGUGAGUAUUAGUGGAACACCAACACUAAAACUGUCCUUCCCUUACUUAUAUUAAACAAAUCACAAAUAUUUAUGUCGAUAAUACAUAAGGGAACUGCCUAAUCAACAACCAAAUAAUUAAUUAAAUUAUUUAAUUAGAUAAAAAUUGUCAACUCUUGGAGGAGACAUAAAGGAAGGAACUAUGCCUAACUAAGCUAAUCAAUCUCUAAUUCAGGCUUUUGGGGCAAAAAUUCCAUAAGCAAAUUACUGUUUUCAAAGACUUUUUCCCCCUUUUCACAUUUUUCUGCUUUGAAUUUGAUUGGCCCUCCUUCCACAAUCAGCACCUUUUGAGGUUUACAAGCAAUGACUGUUUUUUGAACCAUAAGUAAAUAUUAUUUUUUGUCCACGAGGUUAAAUCUUCCGCACUCAUUUCAUAUGUGGUCUUUCUGUGGCUUUACUAAUCGAUUGAUAUAUGUUAAGUUUAUGACAACAAAGUUAAUGAGAAAUUUUUUAGUGUAACCGAAAUAUGGGAUAGUAUGCGGUAUGCCACAUGGUAUUAUAUAAUUGGAGGGAAGUCUUUUUUUUUUUUUUUUUUAAAGUGUCCCUUCAAUUGUAUACGGAUAUAUGGGGGUGUACCAAUCCGUAUUACCAUCACGCUGAAAAAUCACAUAAAGGUAAGGGUGCGGAUUUCGACUCCCCAAUAAACACAAAAAUGUGAGAGGUCCCGGGUUUGAUGCUCCGAGCUAGUGAGUCUGUUUGACUGUGGUUACGGGUAUGAUGAAAUUCCCUAUAGCCUCUGCGGAUCUGAAAAUAGGGAUAAUUGUGACUUAUCACUAGUCGUCCCCCUAUUCACAAAAAAAAAAAAAAAAAAAAAAUGCCGCACACAAAAUAAGUGCAAAAGAUUAAACCCUUUGUUCGUGUUGACUUAAAAAAGUCAAUAAUUUAUUCAAGUUGACAAAACCUUCUUGUAGUUUUAUGAAAAAAGGCAGAAUAAAUAAAACUCGGCUUUCUGCGUUCACGUGUGCUUUGUAUUUGAAAAUAUUACACUAAACAUGUUUCGAUUAAUUUCAUCCAUUU